GAUGAACGCUGGCGGCGUGCCUAAUACAUGCAAGUCGAGCGAACAGACGAGGAGCUUGCUCCUCUGACGUUAGCGGCGGACGGGUGAGUAACACGUGGAUAACCUACCUAUAAGACUGGGAUAACUUCGGGAAACCGGAGCUAAUACCGGAUAAUAUAUUGAACCGCAUGGUUCAAUAGUGAAAGACGGUUUUGCUGUCACUUAUAGAUGGAUCCGCGCCGCAUUAGCUAGUUGGUAAGGUAACGGCUUACCAAGGCGACGAUGCGUAGCCGACCUGAGAGGGUGAUCGGCCACCCUGGAACUGAGACGCGGUCCAGACUCCUACGGGAGGCAGCAGUAGGGAAUCUUCCGCAAUGGGCGAAAGCCUGACGGAGCAACGCCGAGUGAGUGAUGAAGGUCUUCGGAUCGUAAAACUCUGUUAUUAGGGAAGAACAAAUGUGUAAGUAACUAUGCACGUCUUGACGGUACCUAAUCAGAAAGCCACGGCUAACUACGUG
rnacentral:rRNA from 1 species